rnacentral:rRNA from 1 species
GCCCCUUAUGAUUUGGGCUACACACGUGCUACAAUGGACAAUACAAAGGGCAGCGAAACCGCGAGGUCAAGCAAAUCCCAUAAAGUUGUUCUCAGUUCGGAUUGUAGUCUGAAACUCGACUACAUGAAGCUGGAAUCGCUAGUAAUCGUAGAUCAGCAUGCUACGGUGAAUACGUUCCCGGGUCUUGUACACACCGCCCGUCACACCACGAGAGUUUGUAACA